CAGUUUUAUAAGGGUCUUUUCCCCUUUUGCUCAGCACUUCUCCUUCCUGCCUGCCACCAUGUGAAGAAGGAUGUGUUUGCUUCCCCUUCCACCAUGACUGUAAGUUUCCUGAGGCCUCCCCAGCCAUGCUGAACGUUCUCUCCCUGGCCUUAAGAAGUUUUCUUGCUCAUCAGUUCUCAGCGGGAUCCUUGAGUGGAGGGGCACUUUGGACAUCUCAAGUUUUCUCUCUGUGCACCUCUGGUCCACCUUAUACUCCAUUGCAAGAAGGUGUACUGAGCCCUGUUGCUCCAUACUGGCCAAAAGUGGAAAACCUCAAACCCAAGCCUUCUCCACCACCCCCGAGGCCUCCUGUGCCGACUUCUAUCAAGGAGGCCUAUAUUGGAAUCAUCUGACCCCUUGUCUGUAUGACUCAUGAGAGCCAUGGUAAAAUAAAAAUUCAAUCUCUGAGUCACCAGUCCCUAGCACAGAGGCCUGGCUCACUUGAGAUUCUAGGGAAGCUUUGCUGGUUGAAUAAACGUAUGUGUGGAUGCAAGUCCUGGCUCAAAAAUCUAAGGUCCUCUAAGAACACAGGUCCCUAGCGCCAUUCCGAAAGGCUCGACCCAAGGCCUGCACUGAACUUGAGAACAAAAUCUAAACUCUUCACUAGCCAGGAGAAUUGGGGACUUUGUUUCCCCUUAACGACAGUAAGAAGAGAACCCAAAC
rnacentral:lncRNA from 1 species